rnacentral:rRNA from 1 species
UACGUAGGGUGCAAGCGUUGUCCGGAAUUAUUGGGCGUAAAGAGCUCGUAGGCGGUUUGUCGCGUCUGCUGUGAAAACCCGAGGCUCAACCUCGGGCCUGCAUUGGGUACGGGCAGACUAGAGUGCGGUAGGGGAGAUUGGAAUUCCUGGUGUAGCGGUGGAAUGCGCAGAUAUCAGGAGGAACACCAAUGGCGAAGGCAGAUCUCUGGGCCGUAACUGACGCUGAGGAGCGAAAGCAUGGGGAGCGAACAGG